rnacentral:rRNA from 1 species
UACGGAGGGUGCAAGCGUUAUCCGGAUUUACUGGGUUUAAAGGGUGUGUAGGCGGUUCUUUAAGUCAGUGGGUAAAUCUCCGAGCUUAACUUGGAAACUGCCAUUGAUACUAUUGAUCUUGAAUUCUGUUGAGGUGGGCGGAAUAUGUCAUGUAGCGGUGAAAUGCAUAGAUAUGACAUAGAACACCAAUUGCGAAGGCAGCUCACUAAGCAGAUAUUGACGCUGAGGCACGAAAGCGUGGGGAUCAAACAGG